GACGAACGCUGGCGGCGUGCUUAACACAUGCAAGUCGAACGGAAAGGCCCUGCUUGCAGGGUGCUCGAGUGGCGAACGGGUGAGUAACACGUGGGUGAUCUGCCCCUUACUUUGGGAUAAGCCUGGUAAACUGGGUCUAAUACUGGAUAGGACCAUGCUGUAGGUGGUGUGGUGGAAAGAUUAGUUUCGGUAAGGGAUGAGCUCGCGGCCUAUCAGCUUGUUGGUGGGGUAAUGGCCUACCAAGGCGUCGACGGGUAGCCGGCCUGAGAGGGUGGACGGCCACAUUGGGACUGAGAUACGGCCCAGACUCCUACGGGAGGCAGCAGUGGGGAAUAUUGCACAAUGGGCGCAAGCCUGAUGCAGCGACGCCGCGUGGGGGAUGACGGCCUUCGGAUUGUAAACUCCUUUCAGCCAUGACGAAGCCCUUGUGGUGACGGUAGUGGUAGAAGAAGCACCGGCUAACUACGUG
rnacentral:rRNA from 1 species